rnacentral:rRNA from 1 species
GACGAACGCUGGCGGCGUGCUUAACACAUGCAAGUCGAACGGUGAAGCGCCUUCCUUUUUGGUGGGUGUGGAUGAGUGGCGAACGGGUGAGUAACACGUGAGUAACCUGCCCCCUUCUUCUGGAUAACCGCAUGAAAGUGUGGCUAAUACGGGAUAUUCUGGGUCUGUCGCAUGAUGGGUCUGGGAAAGAUAUUGUUUCGGUGGGGGAUGGGCUCGCGGCCUAUCAGCUUGUUGGUGGGGUGAUGGCCUACCAUGGCGGUGACGGGUAGCCGGCCUGAGAGGGUGGACGGUCACACUGGGAGUGGGACACGGCCCAGACUCCUACGGGAGGCAGCAGUGGGGAAUAUUGCACAAUGGGCGCAAGCCUGAUGCAGCGACGCCGCGUGAGGGAUGGAGGCCUUCGGGUUGUGAACCUCUUUCGCCAGUGAAGCAGGCCUGCCUCGUUUGUGGGUGGGUUGACGGUAGCUGGAUAAGAAGCGCCGGCUAACUACGUG